rnacentral:rRNA from 1 species
UACGUAGGAGGCAAGCGUUGUCCGGAAUUACUGGGCGUUAAAGCGCGUGUAGGUGGUGGGACAAGUCUGCUGUGAAAGCGCCUGGCUUAACCGGGCGAGGUCGGCGGAAACUGCCUCACUUUGAGGACGGUAGAGGGGGGUGGAAUUCCCGGUGUAGUGGUGAAAUGCGUAGAGAUCGGGAGGAACACCGGUGGCGAAGGCGGGUCUCUGGGCAGUAACUGACGCUGAGGAGCGAAAAGCGUGGGGAGCGAACAGG